CCUACGGGAGGCAGCAGUAGGGAAUCUUCCACAAUGGGCGAAAGCCUGAUGGAGCAACGCCGCGUGGGUGAAGAAGGUCUUCGGAUCGUAAAACCCUGUUGUUAGAGAAGAAAAUGCGUGAGAGUAACUGUUCACGUUUCGACGGUAUCUAACCAGAACGCCACGGCUAACUACGUGCCAGCAGCCACGGGAAUACGUAGGUGGGAAGCGUUAUCCGGAUUUAUUGGGGGUAAAGGGAACGCGGGCGGUCUUUUAAAUCUGAUGUGAAAGCCUUCGGCUUAAACGUCGUAGUGCAUUGGAAACUGGGAGACUUGAGUGCAGAAGAGGAGAGUGGAAUGCGAUGUGUAGCGGUGAAAUGCGUAGAUAUAUGGAAGAACUCCAGUGGCGAAGGCGGCUCUCCGGUCUGUAACUGACGCUGAGGUUCGAAAGCGUGGGUAGCAAACAGGAUUAGAUACCCUUGUAGUC
rnacentral:rRNA from 1 species